rnacentral:rRNA from 1 species
AGUGAACGCUGGCGGUAGGCCUAACACAUGCAAGUCGAACGGCAGCACAGUAAGAGCUUGCUCUUACGGGUGGCGAGUGGCGGACGGGUGAGGAAUACAUCGGAAUCUACUUUUUCGUGGGGGAUAACGUAGGGAAACUUACGCUAAUACCGCAUACGACCUACGGGUGAAAGCAGGGGAUCUUCGGACCUUGCGCGAUUGAAUGAGCCGAUGUCGGAUUAGCUAGUUGGCGGGGUAAAGGCCCACCAAGGCGACGAUCCGUAGCUGGUCUGAGAGGAUGAUAAGCCACACUGGAACUGAGACACGGGCCAGACUCCUACGGGAGGAAGCAGUGGGGAAUAUUGGACAAUGGGCGCAAGCCUGAUCCAGCCAUACCGCGUGGGUGAAGAAGGCCUUCGGGUUGUAAAGCCCUUUUGUUGGGAAAGAAAAGCAGCAGGUUAAUACCCCGCUGUUCUGACGGUACCCAAAGAAUAAGCACCGGCUAACUUCGUG